UGCAACGCGAAGAACCUUACCAGGGCUUGACAUGUCGCGAAUCCCCUUGAAAGGGGGGAGUGCCUUCGGGAGCGCGAGCACAGGUGGUGCAUGGCUGUCGUCAGCUCGUGUCGUGAGAUGUUGGGUUAAGUCCCGCAACGAGCGCAACCCACGUUUCUAGUUGCCAGCAUUCAGUUGGGCACUUUAGAGAGACUGCCGGUGACAAACCGGAGGAAGGUGUGGAUGACGUCAAGUCAGCAUGCCCCUUACGUCCUGGGCUACACACGUACUACAAUGCUUCGGACAGAGGGUUGCCAGCCCGCGAGGGUGCGCUAAUCCCGUAAACCGAGGCUCAGUUCAGAUUGCAGGCUGCAACUCGCCUGCAUGAAGGCGGAAUCGCUAGUAAUCGCCGGUCAGCAUACGGCGGUGAAUACGUUCCCGGGCCUUGUACACACCGCCCGUCACACCAUGGGAGUUGGCCACGCCCGAAGUUGUUACCCUAACCUUCGGGAGGGGGGC
rnacentral:rRNA from 1 species